UACGUAGGGCGCAAGCGUUGUCCGGAAUUAUUGGGCGUAAAGAGCUCGUAGGCGGCUUGUCACGUCGGGUGUGAAAGCCCGGGGGCUUAACCCCGGGUCUGCAUUCGAUACGGGCUAGCUAGAGUGUGGUAGGGGAGAUCGGAAUUCCUGGUGUAGCGGUGAAAUGCGCAGAUAUCAGGAGGAACACCGGUGGCGAAGGCGGAUCUCUGGGCCAUUACUGACGCUGAGGAGCGAAAGCGUGGGGAGCGAACAGG
rnacentral:rRNA from 1 species